rnacentral:pre_miRNA from 1 species
CAAGUACUCCCUCCGUACGGAAUUACUUGUCAUCAAAAUGGAUGUGUCUAGAACUAAAAUACAUCUAGAUACAUCUAUUUCAAUGACAAGUAUUUUCAGACAGAGGGAGUACAAG